rnacentral:rRNA from 2 species
UGCAGAAUCCCGUGAACCAUCGAGUCUUUGAACGCAAGUUGCGCCCGAAGCCUUCUGGCCGAGGGCACGUCUGCCUGGGCGUCA